GAUGAAGAACGUAGCGAAAUGCGAUACUUGUUGUGAAUUGCAGAAUCCCGUGAACCAUCGAGUCUUUGAACGCAAGUUGCGCCCGAAGCCAUUAGGCCGAGGGCACGCCUGCCUGGGCGUCACACGUCGUUGCCCCCCCAUCUACUCCUUCGGGAUUGCGGGGGGCGGAUGAUGGCCUCCCGUGCGCCUCGCCGCGCGGUUGGCAUAAAUGCCAAGUCCUCGGCGACGCACGCCACGACAAUCGGUGGUUGCGAAACCUCGGUUGCCCGUCGUGUGCGGUCGUCGCGCAUCGAGGGCUCGAAAAAAUUGCCGGGUUCCGGCUCGGCUUUCAACGCGACCCCAGGUCAGGCGGGGUUACCCGCUGAAUUUAAGCAUAUCAAUAAGCGGAGGA
rnacentral:misc_RNA from 1 species